rnacentral:rRNA from 1 species
ACGUGGGGAACCUGCCCCAUAGUCUGGGAUACCACUUGGAAACAGGUGCUAAUACCGGAUAAGAAAGCAGAUCGCAUGAUCAGCUUUUAAAAGGCGGCGUAAGCUGUCGCUAUGGGAUGGCCCCGCGGUGCAUUAGCUAGUUGGUAAGGUAAAGGCUUACCAAGGCGAUGAUGCAUAGCCGAGUUGAGAGACUGAUCGGCCACAUUGGGACUGAGACACGGCCCAAACUCCUACGGGAGGCAGCAGGU